GGUGCUUAAGGUAUUUUAAUAUGCCUUAAGAUAAUAGGGAAAUGGGUGUAAGUCCCAUACGGUCCCGCCGCUGUAAAGGUACAAUAAUAUUCAAUUAUAUCACUGAAAAAUCGGGAAGAUAGAAUAUUGUGCUAUAAAACCUAAGUCAGAAGACCUGCCUAUAAAAA
rnacentral:ncRNA from 1 species